CUCUAGGUGGAGACAAGCCUUUGCCUCCUCUCAAGGGUUAAUCCAGUGGGACAGGCCAGAAUCGGGCCUGGGGAUCCUCCCCGGAAGGCAGGUCCACCUUAAGACAAUGUGCCUUUUCCUUCCCAGAAUUCCCACCCUAGUGCCCUCCCUGAGUCAGGCAGCCCCCACGCUGGACCACCCUUAGAGAACAAUGGCACGAUGUAACCCGCAUGGCAAGAAUGAAGCUUCUCUGAAGAGACACUUGUGCCCCUCAACCUCUCUUACUACUGAAAUGAAACCAUGGACCCCAGAAAUGAGAAUUUCUCCAGGAAUCUCACGUUGGAAGAUGAAAAAGGAUGAGAGCGAAGCGCUGGCUGGGAGGAGAAUUUGUCUGCCACAAAGAGAUUCCACAGAGUUCUAGCAACUUUUCAGACAACCUUGACAGAGGUCUCUACUCAAGACAUCGUGAUAUUGAUUCCCUUUGGGUGGCACUGAAGAUUAGAAAACACCAUGAAAACCUUCAACGAGAUCUUUAUUAAAAGAGAACAGCCGGGCGGUGGUGGCGCACGCCUUUAAUCCCAGCACUCGGGAGGCAGAGCCAGGCGGAUCUCUGUGAGUUCGAGGCCAGCCUGGACUACCAAGUGAGUUCCAGGAAAGGCACAAAGCUACACAGAGAAACCCUGUCUCGAAAAACCAAAAAAUAAAUAAAUAAAUAAAUAAAUAAAUAAAUAAAUAAAUAAAUAAAUAAAUAAAAGAGAACAAACGCUAUGUUUUCCUUAGUGACUUAACACCUGGUUAGUUUGGAAAGCAUAUUGCAUGCAGAGAUGAGGAGAGCUGCUGUAACAGCUGUCCAAGCCCCUCAGGUGUCUGUGUCCUCGGUUCUCUUAAGAGUGCUUAGGGAACGCUACAAUUCUAAGAUUCACUGGGGAAAGCUCUCUCUGGUGCAGGUGAGGGAGCACACGUUCCGCCAUUGCCAGAAGGACUUUUGGGAAAAGGAGAAUGGAGAAAGGCUUCCUUUACCAAAUAUGAAAAUAUACUGAAAGCAUUAAAAAUGAAAAUACUGUGAGUACAGGAUUAGAUAAACUGACCAAUUAAAAUUGAAUACAGAAACCAACUCAAAUACAUAGAAAUGGUUAAAUGUUAUUUAGCAGUUGGCCAUUUGGAGACAAGUUAGCUAUAGCAAUGUCACUUUAUAAUUUAAACAACUUCCCAACGUGACUUGGGGGAGUAACUAGAGGAUGCGGGAGACUAACUCAGGGAUUUGGAGAACAUGACAUGAAAUUAGAAUCUCACAGCAAAGAAAGUUGUGAAAAUACAAAUCAAAGGUAAAAGACAGCCACCAUCUGAAGGGGAAGUAUUUACACCACAAAGCAAAGGAUAUUUAACAAGGAAUGCAAAAAGUUAGUAAACAAAAGACAAACACGAAGCAAUAGAAAAACAGCCAAAGAGUAUGAGCAGACAUAUUUUAAAAUAAAUCCAAUUAGCCAGUAUUCUAUGAAAAUCAACUCAACACCACUAAGAUACAAGAGUGCAAAUGUAUAUAUUUAGUUUAUUACAUCAGAAAUAAUUGGUGAUAACAACUGUUUUUUUUUUUGUUGUUGUUGUUGUUUUUUGUUUUUCAAGACAGGGUUUCUCUGUGUAGCUUUGCGCCUUUCCUGGAACUUAC